AGUUUGAUCCUGGCUCAGGAUUAACGCUGGCGGCGUGCCUAAUACAUGCAAGUCGAACGGAAACCUUCGGGUUUUAGUGGCGAACGGGUGAGUAACACGUAAGCAACCUACCCUAAAGACGAGGGUAAACCAUUGGAAACAGUGGCUAAGACUGGAUAGGAAGAUAAAAGGCAUCUUUUAUCUUUUAAAAGACCUAGUAAUAGGUAUGCUUUAGGAGGGGCUUGCGCCAUAUUAGUUAGUUGGUAGGGUAAUGGCCUACCAAGACGAUGAUGUGUAGCUGGACUGAGAGGUUGAACAGCCACAUUGGGACUGAGACACGGCCCAAACUCCUACGGGAGGCAGCAGUAGGGAAUUUUCGGCAAUGGAGGAAACUCUGACCGAGCAACGCCGCGUGAAUGACGAAGUACUUCGGUAUGUAAAGUUCUUUUAUCAAGGAAGAAAAGCAAAUGGCGAACCAUUUGUUUGCCGGUACUUGAUGAAUAAGCCCCGGCUAAUUAUGUGCCAGCAGCCGCGGUAAGACAUAAGGGGCAAGUGUUAUCCGGAAUUAUUGGGCGUAAAGGGUGCGUAGGCGGUCUAGUAAGUCAGUGGUGUAAUGGCAACGCUUAACGUUGUCCGGCUAUUGAAACUGCUAAACUUGAGUUAGAUAGAGGCGAGUGGAAUUCCAUGUGUAGCGGUAAAAUGCGUAAAUAUAUGGAGGAACACCAGAGGCGUAGGCGGCUCGCUGGGUCUUAACUGACGCUGAGGCACGAAAGCGUGGGGAGCAAACAGGAUUAGAUACCCUGGUAGUCCACGCCGUAAACGAUGAGUACUAAGUGUCGGGUUAAACCGGUACUGAAGUUAACACAUUAAGUACUCCGCCUGAGUAGUACGUACGCAAGUAUGAAACUUAAAGGAAUUGACGGGACUCCGCACAAGCGGUGGAUCAUGUUGUUUAAUGGCGAAGAUACCCGAAAAACCUUACCAGGUCUUGACAUGUUUUUGCAAAAUGAUAGUAAUAUCGUGGAGGUUACCAGAAACACAGGUGGUGCAUGGUUGUCGUCAGCUCGUGUCGUGAGAUGUUAGGUUAAGUCCUAAAACGAGCGAAACCCUUAUCGUUAGUUGCCGCACGUUAUGGUGGGGACUUUAACGAGACUGCCAAUGAUAAAUUGGAGGAAGGUGAGGAUCACGUCAAAUCAGCAUGCCCCUUAUGACCUGGGCUACAAACGUGAUACAAUGGCUGUUACAAAGGGUAGCUGAAACGCAAGUUCUUGGCCAAUCCCCAAAAACAGUCCCAGUCCGGAUUGAAGUCUGCAACUCGACUUCAUGAAGUUGGAAUCGCUAGUAAUCGCGAAUCAGCAUGUCGCGGUGAAUACGUUCACGGGGUUUGUACACACCGCCCGU
rnacentral:rRNA from 1 species